UGAGUAAGCCAGACGGUCGCGUGAGGGGAAAGCCCUCAUGAGGAAAGUCCGGGCUCCGUAGGGCAUGGGUGCCUGAUAACGUCAGGCGAGGGUGACCUUAGGGAAAGUGCAACAGAAACAUACCGCCGAUUCGGACAAGGAUGGGCUUGCGCAAAAUGCGUAAACCCGGACGCAGGAUUUUGUUCGUCUGACACAGAAAUUGAACCAAAGGAGCGAAGUGCGCGUACCCGGAUGUACGCAAUCUGAGCGACGACGUUCAAUUUAUGCGUCAGGCGGACAAAAGACAAGUCCGAAGGUAAGGGUGAAAUGGUGAGGUAAGAGCUCACCGGGGUCAUGGAGACAUGGCUGCCGUGUAAACCCCACCCGGAGCAAGGCCAGAAUGGGAUGUACAGGCGGAAGCCUGAGCAUUUGCCCGAUGCUAUCCCGAAUGGUAGGCUGCAAGAGGACGACGGCGACGUCGUUCCCAGAUAGAUGAUCGUCCACGACAGAACCCGGCUUACGGCUUACUCAAAAC
rnacentral:RNase_P_RNA from 1 species